rnacentral:rRNA from 1 species
GUCCUGGCAGUAAACGGUGCACAUUUGGUGUGGGCGCAAUCGACCGCGUCCGCGCCGGAGCUAACGCGUUAAAUGUGCCGCCUGGGAAGUACGGUCGCAAGAUUAAAACUCAAAGAAAUUGACGGGGACCCCGCACAAGCGGUGGAGUAUGUGGCUUAAUUCGAUGCAACGCGAAGAACCUUACCUGGUCUUGACAUGCAUUGUGUCUACGGUGAAAGCCGUAUAGGGUAGCAAUACCCGCUUUGCACAGGUGCUGCAUGGCUGUCGU